UACAGAGGAUGCAAGCGUUAUCCGGAAUGAUUGGGCGUAAAGCGUCUGUAGGUGGCUUUUUAAGUCCGCCGUCAAAUCCCAGGGACUCGAACUCUGGACCAGGCGGUGGAAACUACCAAGCUUGAGUACGGUAGGGGCAGAGGGAAUUUCCGGUGGAGCGGUGAAAUGCGUAGAGAUCCGGAGGAACACCGACGGCGCAGGCAGCGUCCUGGCCGCUAGCUGACACUGAGGCACGAAAGCUGGGGGAGCAAACAGG
rnacentral:rRNA from 1 species